UGCCUUUAUGUGUUGCCCAUUCAUUAUUUGGUAGAUGGAUGUGGUGUCAACAAAGGCAUACAUCAACACUUGAGACGGUUUUUUUUGAAGUCUCUUCCCCGUAGAUUCUUCACAAAGCCUAUAUCAAGGACACGA